GACUGUUUGCAAUGUGAGAACAGAGUGGAGAAGUUUCUAUUUCUCUCUUCCUCAUCCAGGCUGGUGCUCAGUUGACCACUGACUGCUAUUUCCAUAAUGGUCCAAAGGUGUCACAAAUUCCAUUUUCUCAGCGCCUAUGGUGAUCAGUCAUUUGAUGUAGCCUUUCCCAACAAGGGAUAUGGCUUGUGCUUCAGGACUCUCUUCAGAUGAAGUAAACCCUGAAGGAGCUGGCAGCUGGAGGCACACAGCCUGAAGCUGGACAACAAGCCCUUCCUAAACAGAGAUCUGUGAGCUGCAUCUCCAUGUCGACCACAAGAACCUAGAUCAUUGCGCACAUUUAAUAAAUGUUUGUUAUUAUUAUUA